UCGACGAUGAAUCUUCUAGCUUGCUAGAAGUGGAUUAGUGGCGCACGGGUGAGUAAUGCAUAGGUUAUGUGCCCUUUAGUCUGGGAUAGCCACUGGAAACGGUGAUUAAUACUGGAUACUCCCUACGGGGGAAAGUUUUUCGCUAAAGGAUCAGCCUAUGUCCUAUCAGCUUGUUGGUGAGGUAAUGGCUCACCAAGGCUAUGACGGGUAUCCGGCCUGAGAGGGUGAUCGGACACACUGGAACUGAGACACGGUCCAGACUCCUACGGGAGGCAGCAGUAGGGAAUAUUGCUCAAUGGGGGAAGCCCUGAAGCAGCAACGCCGCGUGGAGGAUGAAGGUUUUAGGAUUGUAAACUCCUUUUGUUAGAGAAGAUUAUGACGGUAUCUAACGAAUAAGCACCGGCUAACUCCGUGCCAGCAGCCGCGGUAAUACGGAGGGUGCAAGCGUUACUCGGAAUCACUGGGCGUAAAGAGUGCGUAGGCGGGGUAAUAAGUCAGAUGUGAAAUCCUGUAGCUUAACUACAGAGCUGCAUUUGAAACUGUUACUCUGGAGUGUGGGAGAGGUAGGUGGAAUUCUUGGUGUAGGGGUAAAAUCCGUAGAGAUCAAGAGGAAUACUCAUUGCGAAGGCGACCUGCUGGAACAUUACUGACGCUGAUGCACGAAAGCGUGGGGAGCAAACAGGAUUAGAUACCCUGGUAGUCCACGCCCUAAAUGAUGGAUGCUAGUUGUUGCCUUGCUUGUCAGGGCAGUAAUGCAGCUAACGCAUUAAGCAUCCCGCCUGGGGAGUACGGUCGCAAGAUUAAAACUCAAAGGAAUAGACGGGGACCCGCACAAGCGGUGGAGCAUGUGGUUUAAUUCGAAGAUACGCGAAGAACCUUACCUAGGCUUGACAUUGAUA
rnacentral:rRNA from 1 species